CUCCCUGCCCACGCCCCGACCUGGGGCGGCCAGGUCUUCCUGAAAAGCGACAGCCUAUGUCUGAUGGAAGGACGGCGCUUCCGGGCCCAGCCCACCCUGCCCUCAGCCCGCCUCCUGGCCAUGCACAUCCAGCAGCUAGAGACUGGGGGCUUCACCAUGACCAAUGGAGCCCACAGAUGGAGCAAGCUCAGCAACCUCCACUGUCCAAAUACAACCUGUUCAAGCCUCAGCCUCACUGAGAAUAAUUAAUAUGAAAGCAAAAUGCACAUUAUUUCAAGAGAAAGGAAAACCUAUGCAGCAACAAAGAAAUUAAAAUGAGAGAAACAUAGCCAAGGUGGUGAGCCAGGUCCAUGCAUUCCAGGAGAACCCCUACACAUUCAGCCCCGACCCCAAGCUGCAGGCGCAUCUCAAGCAAAGGAUCGCACGUUUCAGCGGGGCUGACAUUUCCAUCUUAGCAGCAGACAACAGGGCCAACUUCCACCAGAUCGAAAGCGAGAAGCAUUCCCGGAAGAUCCAGGACAAACUACGAAGGAUGAAAGCUACAUUCCAGUAGUGAGGAUGCAACUGAGUGUGAGAGUCCAAGAGGAACCAGACCUACAGGAGGCAGCUGGGGAGCAAGGAGCCGCUCCAGGGCCACCUGCAUGAGACUGCUCUGCACGUGGAGCCCUGAGCAAUGUAGGUUUCCACCACUCCCCACUCCCCAGGUGAAGAGGUGGAGGGUCACAGCGACUCACCCAUGGCCACUCCACAGAGAGGGCAAAGCCAGCUCCAACACAGACCCAGCACCCAGAACUGGCCCUUUCCAGGACGUGGGCAGGGUGGGCACAAGAGUUUGGAGAUCCUGUUUCUGCAAGAAUUUAAAAAUUAAGUUUAAAAAUCACAAUAGAAAGCCAAGUAUGGUGACACACAUCUGUGAUCCCAGCACUCCAGAGGCUGAGGCAGGAGAACUGCUGUGAGUUCAAGGCCUGCCUGGGCUACACAGUAAAUUCAAGGCCAGCCUGAACUACAUAGUGAGACCCUGUCUCACAAAAAAAAAAAAAAAAAAAGGAAGAAAAUAGAAUAAACUUUCCCCAGAGUUUUUGUACCUAUUUCUCCAAGAUGAAUGACUUUCAUCCCAUUCUUGUUAUGAUCCCCUUUUAAAACA
rnacentral:lncRNA from 1 species